GAGGUCAGAAAUGUGUGCUAGAAGAAGGGGAAAAGGUGUUAAAUCGUGACUGGAUUCUUCAGAACAGAAGGCAUCCACAAAGAAACUUUAUAUUGGGUUCUCUCAAACGUGUCUUAAAGGACUGCAGCAUUCCAGAAAUAGAGCUUUUCCCACAAUCUGACCCAGCCUGUUGUCCUGUCUACAUACAGAGAGCAGUCCCCAAUUUGGAAGAACUGAAUAUCUCCAAAUCUGUGUCCUUCACUGUGAAGUCAGGAGUGUACGUAUCAGUUCCUUUUUAUUAUAGUGAUUGAUGGCCACCAAUUUCAUAUUUCAAUAGAUGACAUACAUUUUUCUAAAGUUUCUAGCUAAUGUUUAUACUCUCAGUCACCCAAGAAAGACUGCAGGGGUUAAAAGAUUCUUUGGAUCUAAUUAGAGCUUUGAUAUAUGACUCACAGGAGCAGGUAUAGAAUUCUGAGAUGUAGUUCUUGAUAUAUGGAUCUAUUGUCUUUUCAUCCAACAAAUUCUGUGAUUGAGAAAUAAAAGCAUGUCCCUGGCC
rnacentral:lncRNA from 1 species